rnacentral:rRNA from 1 species
GCGAACGGGUGAGUAACACGUGAGCAACCUACCCUCAACUUCGGGAUAAGCCUCGGAAACGGGGUCUAAUACCGGAUAUCAUCUCGCGCUUCAUGGUGUGGGGUUGAAAGUUCUGGCGGUUGGGGAUGGGCUCGCGGCCUAUCAGCUUGUUGGUGGGGUAAUGGCCUACCAAGGCGUCGACGGGUAGCCGGCCUGAGAGGGCGACCGGCCACACUGGGACUGAGACACGGCCCAGACUCCUACGGGAGGCAGCAGUGGGGAAUAUUGCGCAAUGGACGAAAGUCUGACGCAGCAACGCCGCGUGAGGGAUGACGGCCUUCGGGUUGUAAACCUCUUUCAGCAGGGACGAAGCGAAAGUGACGGUACCUGCAGAAGAAGGACCGGCCAACUACGUGCCAGCAGCCGCGGUAAUACGUAGGGUCCGAGCGUUGUCCGGAAUUAUUGGGCGUAAAGGGCUCGUAGGCGGUUCGUCACGUCGGGAGUGAAAACUCGGAGCUUAACUCCGAGCCUGCUUCCGAUACGGGCAGACUAGAGGUAGGCAGGGGAGAGCGGAACUCCUGGUGUAGCGGUGGAAUGCGCAGAUAUCAGGAAGAACACCGGUGGCGAAGGCGGCUCUCUGGGCCUUACCUGACGCUGAGGAGCGAAAGCGUGGGUAGCGAACAGGAUUAGAUACCCUGGUAGUCCACGCCGUAAACGUUGGGCGCUAGGUGUGGGGGACAUUCCACGUCCUCCGUGCCGCAGCUAACGCAUUAAGCGCCCCGCCUGGGGAGUACGGCCGCAAGGCUAAAACUCAAAGGAAUUGACGGGGGCCCGCACAAGCGGCGGAGCAUGCGGAUUAAUUCGAUGCAACGCGAAGAACCUUACCUGGGUUUGACAUAUAGGGAAAUCCUCCAGAGAUGGGGGGUCCGUAAGGGUCCUAUACAGGUGGUGCAUGGCUGUCGUCAGCUCGUGUCGUGAGAUGUUGGGUUAAGUCCCGCAACGAGCGCAACCCUCGUCCUAUGUUGCCAGCACGUUAUGGUGGGGACUCAUAGGAGACUGCCGGGGUCAACUCGGAGGAAGGUGGGGAUGACGUCAAGUCAUCAUGCCCCUUAUGUCCAGGGCUUCACGCAUGCUACAAUGGCCGGUACAAAGGGCUGCGAAACCGCAAGGUGGAGCGAAUCCCAAAAAGCCGGUCUCAGUUCGGAUUGGGGUCUGCAACUCGACCCCAUGAAGUCGGAGUCGCUAGUAAUCGCAGAUCAGCAACGCUGCGGUGAAUACGUUCCCGGGC